UGAUAGCAGUCCACAGCAGGUAGGAGGAGAAAGUGUAAAUUCAGCUCUCUGCUAUAGCUGCUACAAACCUGCAUACAGAAUUUGAGACAACGUGGGCUGAAUUCUCUGAAAUACAGUCACUAAAGCUGUCUGGGCAGGUUUCCCCACAGUGACCAUUUGUUUAAAGGGAUAUUCCACCGAUUUUACACAUGAAAUUCUGUCUACUGGCCAUUCUCAGGUUGGGUCUUUGAUAUGUCAGAGGUAAUGAUAUGCAAACGACAACCAGGGGAGGAAGAAAAACACACAGCGCUCUGAAUGGUGCGAAAGACACUUACCAGAGAUUUGAGUGAGCGGAGCGGUGCCGGUGCUGUACCCCUUCUCGGAGUACACCUGCCGGGUGUCUGAGCAGCUCCUGCCCGCUGCAGCAGCACCGGAGCUGCGGGUGCUGCUCAGAACGCAGA